GACGAACGCUGGCGGCGUGCUUAACACAUGCAAGUCGAGCGGUAAGGCCCUUUCGGGGGUACACGAGCGGCGAACGGGUGAGUAACACGUGGGUGACCUGCCCUUAGCUCUGGGAUAAGCCUGGGAAACUGGGUCUAAUACCGGAUAUGACUCCAUGACGCAUGUUGUGGGGUGGAAAGCCUUGUGCGGCUAGGGAUGGGCCCGCGGCCUAUCAGCUUGUUGGUGGGGUGAUGGCCUACCAAGGCGACGACGGGUAGCCGGCCUGAGAGGGCGACCGGCCACACUGGGACUGAGACACGGCCCAGACUCCUACGGGAGGCAGCAGUGGGGAAUCUUGCGCAAUGGCGAAAGCCUGACGCAGCGACGCCGCGUGAGGGAUGACGGCCU
rnacentral:rRNA from 1 species